rnacentral:rRNA from 1 species
CCUGCUCACUGAUUAUAUUAAAGAGCCGCAGUAUUCUGACUGUGCGAAGGUAGCAUAAUAAAUUGUCUUUUAAAUGGAGGCUUGAAUGAAAGGUUGGACAAAGUAUCAUCUGUUUCUUAAAUAUUUAUUGAAUUUGACUUUCAAGUGAAAAGGCUUGAAUAAAUUAAAAAGACGAUAAGACCCUAUAAAUCUUUACAAUAAACAUGUUCUAUAUUUUAAUUUAUAAGUAUAUAAAAUAUUAAAUUUGUAUUUGUUUCGCUGGGGCGGCGUGGAUAUAUUAAUAAACUGUCUAUGUGUUAAAUCCAAUAAUUAUUGAUUAGUGAGAUUGAUCCUUAAAUAGAUUAAAAGAUUAAGAUACUUUAGGGAUAACAGCGUUAUUUUUUUUGAGAGUUCUUAUCGAAGAAAAAGUUUGCGACCUCGAUGUUGAAUUAAAGUAUCUUUAUGGUGCAGCCGCUAUAAGAGAGAGUCUGUUCGACUUUUAAUACUUUACAUGAUUUGAGUUCAGACCGGCGUGAGCCAGGUUGGUUUCUAUCUUUUGUUGAAUAUAAAAUUAUUUUAGUACGAAAGGACCAAAUAAUUAAAAAAUUUUUAUAAUUUUGAAUAUUAUUAUCUU